UUGAAAGGGAAACGAUUGAAGUCAGUCGUACCGACGAGAAAUCAACUUAUCGUGUGCGAACUUGUGGGCGUGCGUGAGUUUCGGCCUCGCUGUCUGCAUGUUUGUGCGUUUUGGGUGUACUUUUUCGUAUGGUAGGCCAACGUCAGUUUCGAUUAUCAUAAAAUGACCGGCGGAAUGUAGCUUCGAUUUCGGUUGAAGUGUUAUAGCCUCUGGUAGAUGUGGUGAUUGAGACUGAGGAUUGCAACGAAUACCCUUUGGGCUAUCCGUCUGGCCUCUGAAAGUUGCUCAGGUGCCGAAAGCGUGCUUACGGUCAUCUAAGAUAACGUUCAACAGGUUAGAACGUGAUUACAUUCGUUAAGGAUGUUG
rnacentral:rRNA from 1 species